rnacentral:rRNA from 1 species
AUUGAACGCUGGCGGCAUGCUUUACACAUGCAAGUCGGACGGCAGCGGGGUAGUGCUUGCACUACUGCCGGCGAGUGGCGAACGGGUGAGUAAUAUAUUGGAACGUACCGAGUAAUGGGGGAUAACCAAUCGAAAGAUUGGCUAAUACCGCAUACGCUCUGAGGAGGAAAGCAGGGGACCUUCGGGCCUUGCGUUAUUCGAGCGGCCAAUAUCUGAUUAGCUAGUUGGUGGGGUAAGGGCCUACCAAGGCGACGAUCAGUAGCGGGUCUGAGAGGAUGAUCCGCCACACUGGGACUGAGACACGGCCCAGACUCCUACGGGAGGCAGCAGUGGGGAAUUUUGGACAAUGGGCGCAAGCCUGAUCCAGCCAUGCCGCGUGUCUGAAGAAGGCCUUCGGGCUGUAAAGGACUUUUGUUAGGGAAGAAAAAGGAGCGGUUAAUACCCGUUUCUGCUGACGGUACCUAAAGAAUAAGCACCGGCUAACUACGUG